GGGGAAUAUUGCACAAUUGGCGACAUCCUGAUCCAUCGACGCCGCGUGAGUGAUGACGGCCUUCGGGUUGUAAACCUCUUUCAGCAGUGAAGAAGCGAUAGCUCUGGUACCUGCAGCACUCGCGCCGGCUAACUACGUGCCAGCAGCUGCGGUAAUACGUAGGGCGCAAGCGUUGUCCGGAAUUAUUGGGCGUAAAGAGCUCGUAGGCGGUUAGUCGCGUCUGCUGUGAAAACUCGAGGCUCAACCUCGGGCUUGCAGUGGGUACGGGCUGACUAGAGUGCGGUAGGGGUGACUGGAAUUCCUGGUGUAGCGGUGGAAUGCGCAGAUAUCAGGAGGAACACCGAUGGCGAAGGCAGGUCACUGGGCCGCAACUGACGCUGAGGAGCGAAAGCAUGGGGAGCGAACA
rnacentral:rRNA from 1 species